rnacentral:rRNA from 1 species
GAACGAGACCUUCGGGUCUAGUGGCGCACGGGUGCGUAACGCGUGGGAAUCUGCCCUUGGGUUCGGAAUAACAGUUAGAAAUGACUGCUAAUACCGGAUGAUGACGUAAGUCCAAAGAUUUAUCGCCCAAGGAUGAGCCCGCGUAGGAUUAGCUUGUUGGUGAGGUAAAAGCUCACCAAGGCGACGAUCCUUAGCUGGUCUGAGAGGAUGAUCAGCCACACUGGGACUGAGACACGGCCCAGACUCCUACGGGAGGCAGCAGUGGGGAAUAUUGGACAAUGGGCGAAAGCCUGAUCCAGCAAUGCCGCGUGAGUGAUGAAGGCCUUAGGGUUGUAAAGCUCUUUUACCCGGGAUGAUAAUGACAGUACCGGGAGAAUAGGCUCCGGCUAACUCCGUG